rnacentral:rRNA from 1 species
GACGAACGCUGGCGGCGCGCCUAACACAUGCAAGUCGAACGAGCGAGAGAGAGCUUGCUUUCUCAAGCGAGUGGCGAACGGGUGAGUAACGCGUGAGGAACCUGCCUCAAAGAGGGGGACAACAGUUGGAAACGACUGCUAAUACCGCAUAAGCCCACAGGUCGGACUCGACCAGAGGGAAAAGGAGCAAUCCGCUUUGAGAUGGCCUCGCGUCCGAUUAGCUAGUUGGUGAGGUAACGGCCCACCAAGGCAACGAUCGGUAGCCGGACUGAGAGGUUGAACGGCCACAUUGGGACUGCGACACGGCCCAGACUCCUACGGGAGGCAGCAGUGGGGAAUAUUGCACAAUGGGGGAAACCCUGAUGCAGCGACGCCGCGUGGAGGAAGAAGGUCUUCGGAUUGUAAACUCCUGUUGUUGAGGAAGAUAAUGACGGUACUCAACAAGGAAGUGACGGCUAACUACGUG